ACCUAAAUUGGUGUCCUACAGAUUCGCUUGUUUCUCAGCAAAACGUAGUAUAUUGCCGUUCUUUCUUUAUGCUUGGUUGGUGAGGAAUUCUACCGUGGGAAAGUGAAUUUAGAUCAUUGGAAGUUUGAUCCAAGCGAGGGUCCACACUCCGAUCUCUUUGUUUAUUACUGCAAACAUUGCAAUGGAGUGUGCUCUGUUCGUAUGCUAUCGGGCGGAACAAGAAUUGGAGUUAGCUUCUUUGAAGCUAUUGAAGUUGAAGAUCGUGCUCUUCGAGUCACUGUUGCUGCUCCUUCUGCCCGUGGAGAGUUUUGGGUUUGAGGAUGGAAUAACAAGUCAAAGCUGCUUGUGCUAGACAAGUUUCCAUGGUGUCUUUCCAGAGCAAGUCAGGUUGAAUCUCAUUUUUUUUCUGUAAAAAUGAGUUUGCGGUUUAAAUUUCAGCUCUACUGUUGCUUACUUAGAUACAAACCAGGGCAAUACGUUGCAAUUGAAAAUCUUACCUCCUAUGAUCAUGUACUAUAUAACACAUGCCCACAUCUGGCUCAUGGGUAAAAUAACUCAACCUUGAGUUUUAAGCCGUUAUUAGUUUUUUCAAUUAUAAAAGACCGCACUUUUAUAA